rnacentral:rRNA from 1 species
UACGUAGGGGGCAAGCGUUGUCCGGAUUUACUGGGCGUAAAGAGCGCGCAGGCGGUCGUUCAAGUCGAGUGUGAAAGCCCCCGGCUCAACUGGGGAGGGUCAUUCGAUACUGAUCGACUCGAAGGCAGGAGAGGGAAGUGGAAUUCCCGGUGUAGUGGUGAAAUGCGUAGAUAUCGGGAGGAACACCAGUGGCGAAGGCGGCUACCUGGACAAUUGCUGACGGC